rnacentral:lncRNA from 1 species
GCUGGGCACUCGGCGGCCGCGGCCGGGCUGGCAGGUGCCUCUUGAGCUUUGGGCCCAGGGUCCCCCACGAGCCCUCGAGCGGCCCGGGGUCUGCCCAUCUCCUCCUGGGCCCUCCGCGAGCGCUCCAGUCCGAAGAGACCCAGUGACUGUCGCGUUCCCAGGAGUCGAGACUCUCAGGGGGCCCGGGCUGGGGGGAGGAGGAAUUCUGCCCAGACUCUGCAGCAGUUGGAGCAAGCAAGGUUUCUCCUGGGUGCUUCCUGGAAAAGUUGCAAAAUUGCUCUUCACCUGUAAGAACAUGCUUUUUAUCUUCCAGUCUCUUCUUGUCAAUUUGGAAGUUGCAGACAGCCGGCUCAGGUGA